UGAAGUGGCGAGGAGGGACGGGGGGUAGUAGAUAGUGGGCGAGGGUUAUUCGGAGUGACUGUGGGUGCGGGGUGCGGAGGGGGUGUUGUAAGUAAGGUGUGAAAUCCCGGGGCUUAAGCGGGUAACUGCAUGUGUGACUGCAAGGGUGGAGGGCGGCAGAGGGGGAUGGAAUUCCGCGUGUAGCAGUGAAAUGCGUAGAUAUGCGGAGGAACACCGAUGGCGAAGGCAAUCCCCUGGGCCUGCACUGACGUUCAUGCACGAAAGCGUGGGGAGCAAACAGGAUUAGAUACCCUAGUAGUC
rnacentral:rRNA from 1 species